CAAUAGCGUAUAUUAAAGCUGUUGCGGUUAAAAAGCUCGUAGUUGGAUUUCUGUCAAGGACAACUGGUCCGCCUUCCGGGUGAGCACAUAGUUUGGUCUUGGCAUCUUGCUGGAAACUGUUGCUGCGCUUGGUUGUGUGGUGCAGCUUUCAGCACUUUCACUUUGAGGAAAUUGGAGUGUUUCAAGCAGGCACAUGCCUUUGGACACAGUAGCAUGGAAUAAUUAGAUUGGGCUUUUGCUCCAACUUGUUGGUUCCUGGAGCUGAGGUGAGAAUCAAUGGGGAUUGUUGGGGGCAUCCGAAUUUAGCCGUCAGAGGUGAAAUUCUUGGAUCUGCUAAAGACGGACAACUGCGAAAGCGUUUGCCCAGGAUGUUUUCAUUGA
rnacentral:rRNA from 1 species